ensembl:lncRNA
UUUACUUGUUCUCAAACUGAGACUCCCUGUAGCUUGCACAUCUAUCCCUUGUUAACCCACCCUGAGAAAAUUGACUGCAUAUUUAUUCCUGUGAUUCAGUCUUGUUUUUUUAUUUUUUAUUUUUUAACAGAUCAGAAAUGUAGGAUCCUAGAGAGCAUCGGCAAAAGAAUCGGAUCGGCACUGAGACCGUUUUUAUUGUUAUUAUCAUCAAUAUUAUUAUUAUUACAAUAUCAAUGAAAUUAUUAUUUAUUCUUUUCAUAUGCAUUCUAAACUGAAUGAACUCAUAACUAAUAUUUGUUGUAACAGUGAAAGUUGUUUGCCAACAAAUAAAAUGACUGAAUUAAUAUUUACAAUAUUUCACAAGGGAGAGGUGUGAAUUUCUGCUUCUUCUUCUUUUUUUUUUUUUUUUGCUUUUUAAUUGGGGUUUUCAAUUAUAGAGCGACACUUUCAACAGGACGAGGAAUGGUCAUGACUCCUCUGGGCAGUUUUUCAGGGAAGGAUUGUCAUGGAGUAAAUUGUACUGUGGAUUGUGAUUCUCUGUUGAAAAUCCUUUUGGACUAGACUUAAUCUCUGUCUGGGAAACCAGCCGGAAGACUUUAACAGUCAGUCGUUCUAUACUGACCCAGUUUCGGUACCGGCACCAAUCAAACGAGCAUGGUACCAAUUAAUUAUGCACAUCUGAGAAGAGCGCCAGUCCAAACAGUGUAAUUACGACCUAUUGAUUUUCAUGUCUUUCCAUGCAAACAGACACACGUCCGUCUGCAAACACGCCCAAAUGUCAGACAGCCUGCGCGUGUGAGUGUGUCUGUGAGAGCUCGCUCUGCCAAAUGUUACCACUUUCAUGAAUAUUUAUAGGCCGUUUUGACAGGCACUUGAGCAUUUUGAAAGGAAGGAAGGAUGCAGCUUUCCCCUCCAAGCAGACUAUAUAGCUCCAUACUCUAGAGCCCUGUCCUGCCUUUGACAUGAGUAUAGUAUGUGUGUGUGUGUGUGUGUGUGUUCUGUUUCUGCAGUUGGCAGCUUGUGUAAAGCAGAUUUUCUUUUUUCAGCUCAUCAAACUCGAUGUCUUCAAGCGUCUCGUACAUGUCACCUCGCAAACAUUUUUUAUUCCGUUAACCCUUUGUUCAGUGAAAACCACAGAGGGCGUUUAUAUUUGCGGAUAUGUCUGAGGGCUGGGAUGGAGGUGUGUGAGUGGGUCAGUGGGCAGGUCAGCUGGUGCUCGUAGCUUUCUGGUUUAGGCUAUGGGACAGUAAUUCAAAUGUCACAGGUUUGAUCCCAGAUAGCAGGACAUGUGAAUUAGAGCAUUACUAAAGGAUCUUUAUCUCUAUUGCGCCCUUGAGUGAGGCACUUAACCUCACAGUGCUCCCGGCCAACAGGCACUUCCAUUAAUGUCCUUUAUGUUGCUUUGGAAAAA